rnacentral:pre_miRNA from 1 species
GGAAACUUGUAAACUACCGUUGGAUCAAAAAUGGACAUCCGAGAUUCGUCCACAUCAUCCCGAGUAAAAAUUUUACUCACGGAUUUACUCAUGAGUAAAAUUUUAUUGCGAGUAAAAUUCUUACUCGUGAUGAUGUGGACGAAUCUCGGGCAUCUAUUUUUCGAUUCAACGGUAGUUUCGUUUCC